AGUGAACGCUGGCGGUAGGCCUAACACAUGCAAGUCGAACGGCAGCACAGUAAGAGCUUGCUCUUACGGGUGGCGAGUGGCGGACGGGUGAGGAAUACAUCGGAAUCUACUUUUUCGUGGGGGAUAACGUAGGGAAACUUACGCUAAUACCGCAUACGACCUACGGGUGGAAGCAGGGGAUCUUCGGACCUUGCGCGAUUGAAUGAGCCGAUGUCGGAUUAGCUAGUUGGCGGGGUAAAGGCCCACCAAGGCGACGAUCCGUAGCUGGUCUGAGAGGAUGAUCAGCCACACUGGAACUGAGACACGGUCCAGGCUCCUACGGGAGGCAGCAGUGGGGAAUAUUGGACAAUGGGCGAAAGCCUGAUCCAGCCAUACCGCGUGGGUGAAGAAGGCCUUCGGGUUGUAAAGCCCUUUUGUUGGGAAAGAAAAGCAGCAGGUUAAUACCCCGCUGUUCUGACGGUACCCAAAGAAUAAGCACCGGCUAACUUCGUG
rnacentral:rRNA from 1 species